rnacentral:rRNA from 1 species
UAAGCGGAGGAAAAGAAACUAACAAGGAUUCCCCUAGUAGCGGCGAGCGAANNNNNAAGAGCUCAAAUUUAUAAUCUGGCACCUUCGGUGUCCGAGUUGUAAUCUCUAGAAGUGUUUUCCGCGUUGGACCGCACACAAGUCUGUUGGAAUACAGCGGCAUAGUGGUGAAACCCCCGUAUAUGGUGCGGACGCCCAGCGCUUUGUGAUACACUUUCAAUGAGUCGAGUUGUUUGGGAAUGCAGCUCAAAUUGGGUGGUAAAUUCCAUCUAAAGCUAAAUAUUGGCGAGAGACCGAUAGCGAACAAGUACCGUGAGGGAAAGAUGAAAAGCACUUUGGAAAGAGAGUUAACAGUACGUGAAAUUGUUGGAAGGGAAACGCUUGAAGUCAGACUUGCUUGCCGGAGCUUGCUUCGGUUUGCAGGCCAGCAUCAGUUUUCCGGGGUGGAUAAUGACGGUUUGAAGGUAGCAGUCUCGGCUGUGUUAUAGCUUUCCGUUGGAUACAUCCUGGGGGACUGAGGAACGCAGCGUGCUUUUUGCGAAAGACUCGUCUUUUUCACGCUUAGGAUGCUGGUGGAAUGGCUUUAAACGACCCGUCUUGAAACACG